rnacentral:lncRNA from 10 species
GGAGGAACAGGAGGCUCUUCCCCCCCGCCCUUUUGGGUCCAAGCAUGCUGAACUAUUGUCCAUUUCCUGUCUGCCUACAGUAAGCAUCUGCCAGGGAGACAUCCCUCAACUAUUCUCCCAUGUGACCUUUGUUAAGGUGAAAGGAUCAGGCAAGACAUCCUCAUUCUUGUGGCUGUUUAGCUGACCUCUACCAAGACCUUAUGGCAGGAAUGUCAUGUUUCCAUAACCUUGAAGAUACCAAGUAUAUUAUCUGCUCUGCAAAGAGAUAAAGCCUCACAAUUAUCCAUAGAGAUGGGCAUCCUCAUUCCAAACCAGCAGAGGAACAGACAGAAAGCUGCAAAUGUCUCUGAGCCUCCCUGUCUCAUGGCUCAGGGUGGCCAGCCCCGACUGGAAGCAUAGCUACCUAGUUCUGAGGGCCUUCUGUUCUCACCAUACCCUGCUGCCCAUGCAUAUUGCUUAUCUCAAUAAUACAAACCAUGUUUAUUUGUUUGCUUGCUUUAUUUGUUUCUCCGAUAGAAAAUAUGCUCAAUGGGGGCAGGGGGAUCUUGCCUGUCUUGUUAUUUAGCAUUUCCUUAGGCCUUUGGGCAAUGGUGGAUACUUCUGUAGGUGUUCAGGAAGGGGAAGAUAGAGGACAGGGAAAGGAGGAGGGAGAAAAGGAGGAAGGAUAGAGAGGAAUAAAGGAAGAAAUUCUGCCUAGGUGCCCUGUACCUCUAUUUUCUGUUCUAGAAUCGGAUCAUUAUAAUGACAACCCCUCUAGUGUGCACAACUUCUACCAUUUAUAAAAUGUUUUGGCAUUCUUUGGAUUCUCCCUAUAACCCUGUAAAGUAGAAAGAGAAGCGCUCUUUAUCCCGAUUCUAUAGAUACAUUCACAAAUUGAUCAUCUCCUGAGAACUGCCAAGUACUAACAACCGUGAUAGCCACGGAUGCACCCAUGACCAUAAUAACCUGGUUCUCAUGGGGAUUUCUUUUGACCUGUCUCCCAAAAUAGAGUAUUGCAGGCAACAGGAAGGCCAUAAUGGCGCUGUGUUCACAGAGAGGGAUUUGCUCUUUGAGUCUUCCCCAAGCUCCAUGCUCCAAACAAGGUGGAACCUUGAGAUGAGUUUUAGAAGGGUAUGUGCAGAAGGAACAGUGCAUACAAAGGUGUACACAUUUGAGAAGUGUGGGGCCUUCCAGCAAUGUGUCUGCCACCUAAGGUGCCUGCAGAAGAGCAGAGGCACUGGCCUUGGAACAGAGAGCAGUGACCAGACCUCAGAGAGCCCUCAAUGCCAGGUGAAUAAGCUUGGACUUCAGCCUGGAGACAUAGGGACCACUGAUGUGUAUACACCAGAAAGUGGCCACAUCUGAUCUUCAAGUCAGAAGAUCACUUUCAAGGAGGCAGUAGAGAAGAUAGAAAGGAGAAGGGAAAGGCAGAAAGGGCAGUGAGAACAAUUCCAGGGCUGGAAGGAUCAUCCUGGAGAGAGAGAGGAAGAGAGUCUGCACCAGGCAGCCCUGGGACUCUGCAGCAGAGAGACUCAGGUAGAGUCAACAACAGAAUGGGCUGUGCUUCUGGGAGAGGAGAGAUCUGCCCAGGGUCUCCAUAGAAAAUAGAUGGUAAACCUUGGUCUUCUGUAUCCUGGGUCAAAAUUCUUCCCAUUGCAGGGCAAGUGCUGCCUCACACAUGAACCUUCUGGUCAGUUCCCCCAAGGAGUACUGCGUUCCCCAGGAGCCUACCUUCUGCUCAGCUACCAGCUCCUGGCCCUAUCCCUCCCUGCCUCUGCUUACCACCACAAAUAAAAGCUUCUUUACCUUCCAGGGAGUGUUAGAGAUUACAAAGCUGCCAGCCAUAGGCAACAAUGUCCUCUACCCUUGAGGGUUAAUGUGGGCCACUACCACCUACUGAGGUACCUCCUGUUCAUUCAUUCAUUCAACAUUUAUCUUGUUUAUUUUGUACUGAGCACAGGGAUCCAUUUGGCCUCUCAGAACUUCUCUACAGUUGUCCUUUUGAAGAUUUGUUUAAUGCUAAAGCUCAAAGAGACUUCUGAGCUUUACUUGGGCUCAUGGUAGCCAUGUGAAGUGUCCAGGGCCACAGCAAGCGGGUUAACAGCUCAAGUCCUGAACUCACUUCCAACCCCAUGGGAUUUCCAAUGACCUCUUAGUGGCCUAGGCAAUUAGGACUUCAUCUUCGGUCUGAUCAAAACAGAAUGGUUUUCAUGACAGGAACAGGGAGGAUGUUGACCUACAGAGGAUCCAACAGGGGAGUGACUGUCCUCGGUCCCUAGGAGAGACAAUGGAAGAUCUGGUUGCUCGACACCAUGCACACCAGCAGCACUCUGAUACAUAUGGUGUUUAUCCUUUCCUCAUUCUUUGGUGAUGUGCUCGUUGAUGAGCUGUGGAGCAUAUCCAGAAUGUUUUUGGAGCUGUUAGCUAUUAUGUCCUAAAAAAUAAUAAAUUGCAC